GUGGGGAAUAUUGGACAAUGGGCGCAAGCCUGAUCCAGCAAUGCCGCGUGGGUGAAGACGGCCUGCGGGUUGUAAAGCCCUUUAGGCGGGGAGGAACGGUGGGGUGUUAAUACCACUUCACGCUGACGUUACCCGCAGAAUAAGCACCGGCUAACUCCGUGCCAGCAGCCGCGGUAAUACGGAGGGUGCGAGCGUUAAUCGGAAUUACUGGGCGUAAAGCGUGCGUAGGCGGUUGGGUCAGUCAGCCGUGAAAGCCCCGGGCUUAACCUGGGAACGGCGGUUGAGACGGCCCGACUCGAGUGGGCUAGAGGAUCGUGGAAUUCCGGGUGUAGCGGUGAAAUGCGUAGAGAUCCGGAGGAACACCGAUGGCGAAGGCAGCGGUCUGGGGCCACACUGACGCUGAGGCACGACGGCGUGGGGAGCAAACAGGAUUAGAAACCCGUGUAGUCC
rnacentral:rRNA from 1 species